CUGACGCUGAGUGAGAGAAUUAACAAUUGAGAAGUAACAGCAGCAUUUGACUGAGGGCUCAACUGAUACACCAUAGACCUGCAGUUGAACUACAGGGUUAAGCAGUAGCCACUAUUGUUUUACCAGAGCUACUUUUAGUCUCAGUGGUGUAAUGGGAAGAGUCUUUUGCCUUAGAAAAGGCUGCUCACUAAAUUCAGCUCCUGCUGGUUUCUCUAGGGACAGUUUCUGUAUAGCAGGUGUUGCUCAGUGAGGAACCGAGGAACGCUUUGCUUCGGCUCGGAAGAGAACAGCAGAGCAGAAAGCAAGAUUUCUGUAUUUCAUAUAAUUAGUGUUGUCUUCUCUGCUUUGCCAUAGGGAAGUCCAUGACCUUCACCAUCAUUCAGCUCUCUUAAUGGCGCUCGUAACUGUAUGCUAGAACGCCAUGACUGAAAACAGAGGAAUUUAGAGUAAGGAAGAGAAAGAACAGGCCAUGAGGAGUAUAUGCUAUUCCUACCAGCUGCAGAAGGGAGGUCCCCGGCUGCUUUUGAUGCCCUGUCUCCUGUAGAUUCCAGCUCUGCCUCCAUGAGAGUCUCUACAGCAUUGCCUGGGAGGUGCAGAAAGCCCUCAGUGACUUUUAGUAUCUUCCUUAAUCUCAUCCUGCUGCUGUUUUCCUCAGGAGUUUUUUGGGGUCACUGCAGUAGCUCUUUCUGUGCACACGCUGCACAGCACCUCUAACCUUCUGAAUGACACCACUGGAGGACAAACUACUUCUGCUUUCAAGCUAUUUUGUUGUUUGCUUUGUUUCAUUAAAUAAGUGCCAUGAUUGAUGUAUUUAAUCGUUAUUUUGGUUUGAGGAGGAGCACCUUUUGAAGGUAUUAAUUUUCUUGGGUUUCAAGGCAGUGCAUAUGAAUAGAGGACCAGCACUUAAGAGGCUGUUUAUUCAGUGGAUGCACCACAAUGAGUGCAAAGUACUGUCUUUCCCAAUAAUCUCUCCAUGAGAAGUGCAAGGAAUGAAGCAGGUAUGUUUUAAUCCCUUCAUGCCUCCAUAUGCUUUAAUUUCCAAGUGCUUUAGAGCCUUCUGAAUGAAAAGUUGCAUUGUCAGACAUGAGCAGUCCUUGCAUGCAUCUGAUCCGUUUUUAACCUGCUGUACCUUUCACAAUCUCCUGUAGCAAUGAGGUUCACCAUAUAAUGACAUGUACAGUGAGUAAUCCCUUUGUUUUAAACCUGCUGCCUGAUAUUUUAUUAAGCAGCAUGGCCAGGAACAGCAAUAGCUCCUCCAUUUGGUUUGGGGUCGGGGGGGCUGAUAACCAGGUUGUCAGGUCCUCUUCUGUUGCAAAAUACUAUGUAGCCCAUAGAGUUCACAUUCUCUUGGCCCUUAUGAGCAUGUAGAGAUUAUUUUACAGGUUAGCUAUAGUAGAAUCAUAGAAUCAUAGAAAUUGGGUCUGUGGAAAAGUCAUCAUAUAGCACCAGUGCUGACUGUGAUCAUCUGCUUAAUGGGCUGAUUGACUUUAGGACCUUUCUCUUGCAAUGUCUUUUCCUUAAUAGAUACACUGAGUUACACACUGUGUUUUUUCACUGUUGUAAAAGAAUACAGGCUUAGAUCAGCCGAACCUAUACUCAACAAUUUGCUUUGGCAGAACUAUAACACCAGACAAAUCUAAAUGCCCUGUUCUCACACCUGAACUGUGUAGUUACUGAGGAGAUUUAUGAAGCUUCUUCAGCUGGUUACUUGUACUUCAGUCAUCAGGAUACAGGGAUAAGGAAGUUUUAAUUUCAUCACUACUCAAAGGCAGUCCCUUGAUGCAUGAGUCAGCUUUGAGAAGGGCUAAAUUACAGGGUGAUGAGAGAAGCACUGGCAUCACUUAAUCCCAAACAUUUAAUCUUGAAAGGUUUUGAUUUAGUUUUUAUUAAGCUUAAGAUCUGCAGAGCAAUUUUGAGGUGGUUCUAUUGUGAUUGAUUGAUUGAUUCAUUCAUUCAUUCACUGAAAACCACAGCAGAAUUACUAUUCUAAAUUACUGCUAAUUUUGCACAAAUAUAUGAGUGUUGUAACUGGA